AUUGAACGCUGGCGGCAGGCCUAAAACAUGCAAGUCGAACGAGUGGCGGACGGGUGAGUAAUGUCUGGGAAACUGCCCGAUGGAGGGGGAUAACUACUGGAAACGGUAGCUAAUACAGCAUACACUCGGAUGUGCCACAAGGGGAUUAGCUAGUAGGUGGGGUAACGGCUCACCUAGGCGACGACCCCUAUCUGGUGUGAGAGGAUGACCAGCCACACUGGAACUGGGACACGGUCCAGACUCCUACGGGAGGCAGCAGUGGGGAAUAUUGCACAAUGGGCGCAAGCCUGAUGCAGCCAUGCCGCGUGUAUGAAGAAGGCCUUCGGGUUGGAAAGUACUUUCAGCGAGGGGGCGUUACUCGCAGAAGAAGCACCGGCUAACUCCGUGCCAGCCGCCGCGGUAAUAC
rnacentral:rRNA from 1 species